GACCCGGUGGUGAAACGGACGAUCACACCUCGCUUCUAACGGGGCGUUCCGGGUUCGAAUCCCGGCCGGGCCG
rnacentral:tRNA from 1 species